rnacentral:lncRNA from 1 species
UGAGGUCUGGGGGUCUACAGGGGCCGUCGUCUGGUGGGGAUGCUCAGGAUGGACGGGCUCAGAGGUCGGCGCAUCAAAAUGCGGGACUGGAAUGCCGGACUAUGCGAGGGACUGCAGAAUGACCGACAUCUAACUCUGAAAAGUGGCCGCCUGGGUUGUCAAAGCAGUGACCUGACUGUUUGACUGCGCUGAUGAACGGGGUCUGGGUUCCCUCCGCCUGGCAUUCCCCAUCCCUCGACAAUAUGUCCCCGGUCUCCUCCCGAGAGUCUGAUCCAAUGUCUCCGUCAAGAUCUAAAACUCAGCAUCCUAUGGAGGAUCCACAGACUCGAUCGGAGUAUCGAGAGGAAGUUGGGAGGCAGACUCCUGAAGAACUCCUCUCCACCAUCGUCGUCUGUUUAGCAUAACAUAAAAUAUAAAUUAAAGCAUUCAUAUAAUAACCUUUAAACUUGAAUGCGUAACAUAAUAAUUAAAAUUAAAUAAUACUAACAUGAAGGGCCAACUCAUUCCCAGGUAGAACAUAAACGUCGCCAAAGACGUCGAUCUCUGGGAAUUUGGACCCCCCCUAAAUUGAACAAGAGAAGAAAAAUAUUAGUACGAAAAAAUAAAUUAAGAAUAAUUAAAUAUUAAAAAUUAAAUAAAAAUUAUUUUAUUAUUACCUACCGCCGUGCAUCCAUCCUAUAGGAGAAAGGCCUGGAACCCGAAUGAUGGAGAAGAGUCUUCUUCUUCCUAUUGCCCUUAUUGACUUUGACUUUAUUCUGUUAUACAAAAAAUAAAACGUAUUAGUUGAAAUUGAAAUUAAAUAUAAAACAUUAAAAAAACAUUAGUAAGAAAAAUAUAAUAAAUUUGAAAUUCAUAUUACAAAUUACCACAAAAGCGGGCGCCUGAAAAUGAGCGCAGAGCCACGCCUAACUAUCCUCCAGCCCCUCAAGCUCCUUCGGGCAACCCUCCUGAAGAGCGACUUCGGAAUCAUCGAACGCCUCAAAAUGGUGGUGCAAGUCGCUCUUCCAUUGUUUGUACCUCUCAGAGAAGAGUCUGUUGACAUACGCCAACGACUCGUCGUCGAGGUCCUCCAAGUUGUAGUUCGUCUGCAAUAAAUUAAUUAAAUACAUUUAAAUAAUAGAAAUAUAAAAUUUGAAAGAAAAAGAAUUAAAAGGCCUACAUACCGACAACUGGCC